UACAGAGGUCCCGAGCGUUGUUCGGAUUCAUUGGGCGUAAAGGGUGCGUAGGCGGUCUUCUAAGUUUGAUGUGAAAUCCCGGGGCUCAACCCUGGAAUUGCAUUGAAUACUGGAGGACUAGAGUACCGGAGAGGAAACUGGAAUUUACGGUGUAGCAGUGAAAUGCGUAGAUAUCGGGAGGAACACCUGUGGCGAAAGCGGCUCACUGGACCACAACUGACGCUGAGGCGCGAAAGCUAGGGGAGCAAACAGG
rnacentral:rRNA from 1 species